GAUGAACGCUGGCGGCGUGCCUAAUACAUGCAAGUCGAGCGAACAGACGAGGAGCUUGCUCCUCUGACGUUAGCGGCGGACGGGUGUGUAACACGUGGAUAACCUACCUAUAAUACUGGUAUAACUUCGGGAAACCGGAGCUAAUACCGGAUAAUAUAUUGAACCGCAUGGUUCAAUAGUGAAAGACGGCUUUGCUGUCACUUAUCGAUGGAUCCGCGCCGCAUUAGCUAGUUGGUACGGUCACGGCUUACCAAGGCGACGAUGCGUAGCCGACCUGAGAGGGGGAUCGGCCACACUGGAACUGAGACACGGUCCAGACUCCUAAGGGAGGCAGCAGUAGGGAAUCUUCCGCAAUGGGCGAAAGCCUGGCGGAGCAACGCCGCGUGAGUGAUGAAGGUCUUCGGAUCGUAAAACUCUGUUAUUGGGGAAGAACAAAUGUGUAAGUAACUAUGCACGUAUUGACGGUACCUAAUCAGAAAGCCACGGCUAACUACGUG
rnacentral:rRNA from 1 species